CGAACGGGUGAGUAACGCGUGAGGAACCUGCCUCAAAGAGGGGGACAACAGUUGGAAACGACUGCUAAUACCGCAUAAGCCCACGGGUCGGCAUCGACCUGAGGGAAAAGGAGCAAUCCGCUUUGAGAUGGCCUCGCGUCCGAUUAGCUAGUUGGUGAGGUAAUGGCCCACCAAGGCAACGAUCGGUAGCCGGACUGAGAGGUUGAACGGCCACAUUGGGACUGAGACACGGCCCAG
rnacentral:rRNA from 1 species